CAGGGUGUAGGUUUUAGGGGUCAAUUUGGAAUUAGGAAUCAAAUGUAGUUCAGGGCCUUACAGCUGUCCUUAAUUAGCCAAUGACAUUAGAAGGGUCUGGGAUUUGUUUAAAAGGAGCAACCAAAAAAGCUUGCCAGAUACAGCAUAAGGGAUAUUAUGCUAGGGCUUAUACCAGCCAUUAGUUCUGAUUACUGGGGAGCUUUUGAGGCGCAAAAUGGCCGUGAUGAUUGGAAUCGCUUUUAGAGUUUCUUGGCUUUGUUGCCUGCUAAUUGUCGGGAUAACCUGUUCUACAUCAAGUGAUGGGUAUCCUGCACCAGGUUCUGAUGCAGCAUGGCUCUAUACAGGCCCACUUAGGUCUAAAGGAUAUGGUAAUUACAACUCUCCAACAGCUCAAUUGCAAGCGCAGCUGACCGAAGAGCAACAGAAACAUCUGGCAGCCAUCCUGCAAAAGCAACUGGCCCCCAUGCCCCAGGCACCUCAGAAAAUGUGGUAUCCAACUCAAAUGCCCCAGCAGGAAAAGCAACCGGCCGCCAUGAGCCAACAGCAGACGCUACCGGCCAGUUAUCCUAAGCAGCCUCAAGCAAUGUUUUAUCCAGCUCAAAUACCCCAGAAGCAACCAGUUACUGAACUUCAGCAUCAGAAGGAACAGGCCUCCAUACCCCAGCUACCUCAGCAAGUGUGGUACCCAGUUCAAAUUCCUCAGCAGCAAAAGCAACCAGCUACUGGUCCUCAGCAGCAGACCGAACUGACCACCAUGCCCCAGAAGCAACCGGCUCCAAUGCCUAUACCGCAGAAACGACCAACAGCUAUGCCCCAGAAAGCAUGGUAUCCAGCUCAAAUGCAGCAGAAGCAACCGGCCACCAUGCAGCAGCAAGUGUGGCAUCCAGCUCAAUUGCCCCAGCAGCAAAAGCAACCGGCUACUGAACCUCAGCAGCAGAAGGAACCGGCCUCCAUAACCCAGCAACCUCAGCAAGUGUUGCAUCCAGCUCAAAUGCUGCUGAAGCAACUGACUGCCAUGCCCCAGCAAGUGUGGUAUCCAGCUAAGCCCCAGAAGCAACUGGCCGCUGAUCCUCAGGAGCAGAUUGAACUGACCGCCAUGCCCCAGCAAGCAUGGUAUCCAGCUCAAAUGCCCCAGAAGCAACCAACCGCUGAACCUCAGUGGCAUCCAGCCAAAUUUCCCCAGGAGCAACCCGUCCCUAUGCGUCAACUGCAGACGGAACUGACCUCCAUUCCACCACAACUGUGGCAAUCCGCUCAAAUUCCCCAGCAGCAUAAGCAACCGGCUGCCAAGCUUCAGCAAGUGUGGCAACUGGCCCCCAUUCCCCAGCAGCCUCAUGACGUGUGGUAUCCAGCUAAAAUGGUCCAGAAGCAACAAGCAGCAUCAACUCGGCAGCAGAAGGAACUGACCACCAUGCCUCAAGAGUGGCAUCCAGCUCAAUUUCCCCAGCAGCAGAAGCAACCAGCCCUAAUGCUUUCACCGCAGAAGGAACUGACCGCCAUACACCAGCAACCUCAGCAAGUGUGGUAUCCAGCUAAAAUGCCCCAGAACCAACCAACCACUGAACCCCAGCAGCAGAAGGAACCGGCCACCAUGCCCCAGCAAGCAUGGUAUCCAGCUCAAAAGCCCCAGCUGCAGAAGGAACCGGCCGCUGAACCUCAGCAGCGGAAGCAACCGGCUGCUGAACCUCAGCAGCAGAAGGAACCGGCUGCUGAACCCCAGCAGCAGAAGGAACCGGCCACCAUGCCCCAGCAAGCAUGGUAUCCAGCUCAAAUGCCCCAGAAGCAUCUGGCCUUCAUGCCUCUACCACAGAAGCAACCAACCGCCAUGCCCCAGCAAGAGUGGCAUCCAGCUCAAAUGCCCCAGCAGCAGAAACUGGCCACCAUGCUGCAGAAGCAACCAGCCCCAAUGCCUCAACCGCAGAAGCAACAGGCCACCAUGCCCCCGCAAGUAUGGCAUCCAGCUCAAAUGCCUCAGCAGCAAAAGCAACCAGCUACUGAACCUCAGCAGCAAAUUGAACCGACCGCCAUGCCCCAGCCACCUCAGCAAUUGUGGCAUCCAGAUCAAUUUCUCCAGGAGCAGAAGCAACCAUUCACUAUGCAUCUACCGCAGAAGGAACUGACCGCCAAUCCACCACAACUGUGGCAAUCCGCUCAAAUGCCCCAGCAGCAUAAGCAGCCGGCUGCCAUGAUUCAGCAAGUGUGGCAUCGGGCACAGAAGCAACCGGCCCCUAUGCCCCAACAGCCUCACGACGUGUGGUAUCCAGCUAAAAUGGUCCAGAAGCAAGUCGCUGCGGUGACCGCCAUGCCGCAUACGCAUCAGCAAGUAUGGCAUCCAGCUGAAUUUCCCCAGCAGCAGAAGCAACCGGCCUCCACGCCUCUACCGCAGGAGCAACCGACCGCCGUACCCCAGCAAGUGUGGUAUCCAGCUCAAAUGUCACGGCAGCAACUGACCUCCAUGCCUCUACCGCAGAAGCGACUGACCGACGUGCCUCAGCAAGAGUGGCAACCAGCUCAAAUACCGCAGAAGCAACCGGCUGCUGAACCGCAGCAGAACGAACCGGCCACCAUACCCCAGCAAGUGGGGUAUCCAGCUCAAAUGUCCCAGCAGCGGAAGCAACACACUGCCAUGCCACAGCACCAACUGACCCCCAUGCCUCAGCAAUUAUGGCAUGUAGCUCAAAUGCCCCAGAAGCAACUGGCCCCAAUGUCUCAGCAGAAUCACUACGAAACCACUGAAGAUGGUGAACAGACAGGUGUCAUCCCAAUCUAUUCCUACAGUUCCAAAUCGCACUACGAGAAUGGCAGGACUGUAUUCUCCCUAACCCGCUACACUCCUAGGGAGGCUAUGCUUGUUCACAUUGGAAAUGCUCCCAAGGACAGUUUUGUUCGUACUGGUGCACCAAGCGUAUAUCCAUCACUAGUGAAAGAUUCUGCAAGGUAAUGGUUCACUUUAACCUGCUCUGAACUUUGCUCUCUGAAUUUGAAGUCCUUUGUACUAACCAUAUCUUUCAACAAGAAAAUGUAAUGGAUUCAUCCUCUAGAAGCUAAUGGUGAGAAUUGUUUUUGACAUUGGUUACUUAACAUUCUGUGUUGCUGACACUGCAUUUCUUUCUGCUUUUGUUUCGACCAGGAAGUGUCUGGUGCUCUUGCUACUCUAGCGUGAGGGAGUACAUGAACAGUUCUUCUUUAAAAAAAUGCCCUGUCUCUGUGAAAUAGUGGUUCUUGUGUCCAUUGCUUGCUAAUUGAGAACAGGUGGUGUGCAGUCUGUAGUAAAAAUGACUGCUCAGUUAAUUCUUUGGUUUUCUAGUCUUUUACCUUUGCUACUGGUUGUUCAAAAUAAAAGCUUGGGUCUACAUUUGUCAAGGGGUGAGUUGUCAGACCUUCUUCAUAUGUUCAUACUUUAGAUGUAGGCAUGCAUUGUAUACAGUGAGACUGUCUUCAACCUCAGUAAGCUAACAUAUAGGGAAUGGUUUUUAGAUGGUCAGACCAUGGCUCAUUUAGCUACUAGAAUUGAGUGACCAUUUGGUUUCAAACUUGCAUUUGGCCUUAUACUAUAGCCCAUACCACAAAUGGCAAAGAGUCAAAUCAGUUUAGGAGUGUCUGUUCCAUAUCUAGCUGAAUCAAAUGUUAUUGUUGAUGCUUCUACCUCCAUACUUCUGUUUGUAUGGGUUACCUGUCUUACAAUUGUGGGGUCAUAGAGGGAAACGUAACUAUGUUCGGGAGUCAAUUUCCCAUAAUGGUCAGUUUGUAGGCCAAACCGUUCUGAAGCUAUAGAUGUUUUUGAGACUGCAUUUUUUGGGUGUCAGACCAACACCACUGUAGCUCGGCCCCUGUCCACCGCAGAUGCAACGGGCGGCUGCAGUGUCUUGAGACGCAGCCCAUUCAAAAUGUUCUAGCUUCAACUGGAUUUUGAUGGGCCUUUUACUUUGACUGCCUCAAUACUCUUCAGCUGUAGCCCAUUCCUCCUAGUCCAUUUAUUGUACCACAGGCUCCUGUGUAUUUGGUAUCUACAAUGCCUGGAACGGUUUAACCGCUCAAUUAACAAAUAAAUUCUGUAUAGACUGUCUUUAAACAUGCACAUUUUUCUUAACCAAUCAAUCGAACUGCGUAGUAUGAGAAUUAGGCCCUUUAAUGGAUCCAUUAAGUUCCAAAGCGGAAGCUGGUAGGCACUAACAUGACAGUUUAGCUAGCAUAAGAUGUCACCCAGGACUUUUGGACAACUUGACAUAUUUGCCUGUUGUAGUUGACUGUUUGGCCAGACUCAUGAACAUGAAUGAAAUUGUAUAUGCAUUGAAUUUUCAACAAGAAGUUAGUUUACUGUUGGACAAUCUCUUGUCUAGUGUACGUCAACAGACAACUUCAUUUAAUUUGUCACAGUAUGGAAUUUUUGGACACGAUCUCAAUGUGUGUGCAACCUUUUUGCACAACACAUUUCUACCGGACCACUGAGGUUGCAC
ensembl:lncRNA